rnacentral:misc_RNA from 1 species
AACGCACCUUGCGCUCUCUGGUAUUCCGGAGAGCAUGCUUGUUUCAGUCUCAAUAGACUACUCAAAAACAUUAUUGUUUUUGGAAUUUGGGCCGUCUCUGCUAAGAGUGGCUUGCAAUAGAUUUUUGGGCUUUUCAGCAAUAGAGUGAAAUUAGUACUUUGGGCUUAGCUCAAGUUCACUACACUUCUAUUUCGCUAAAAUCAACCCGAAUUUGCAGGAAUCUUUCUCAACCCUUGAGCUGAAAUCAAGUAGGAUUACCCGCUGAACUUAA